rnacentral:rRNA from 1 species
GACGAACGCUGGCGGCGUGCUUAACACAUGCAAGUCGAACGGAAAGGCCCUGCUUUUGUGGGGUGCUCGAGUGGCGAACGGGUGAGUAACACGUGAGUAACCUGCCCUUGACUUUGGGAUAACUUCAGGAAACUGGGGCUAAUACCGGAUAGGAGCUCCUGCUGCAUGGUGGGGGUUGGAAAGUUUCGGCGGUUGGGGAUGGACUCGCGGCUUAUCAGCUUGUUGGUGGGGUAGUGGCUUACCAAGGCUUUGACGGGUAGCCGGCCUGAGAGGGUGACCGGCCACAUUGGGACUAGGAUACGGCCCAGACUCCUACGGGAGGCAGAAGUGGGGAAUAUUGCACAAUGGGCGGAAGCCUGAUGCAGCAACGCCGCGUGCGGGAUGACGGCCUUCGGGUUGUAAACCGCUUUCGCCUGUGACGAAGCGUGAGUGACGGUAAUGGGUAAAGAAGCACCGGCUAACUACGUG